GGUUGCGAUGAUAACAGCACUAAUGCACCGGAUCCCAUCAGAACUCCGCAGUUAAGAGUGCUUUGGCGAGAGUAGUACUAGGAUGGGUGACCCCCUGGGAAGUCCUCGUGUUGCAACCC
rnacentral:rRNA from 1 species